rnacentral:lncRNA from 1 species
GGAUUUCUGAGUUUGAGGCCAGCCUGGUCUACAAAGUGAGUUCCAGGACAGCCAGGGCUAUACAGAGAAACCCUGUCUCGAAAAACCAAAACACAAACCAAAAAAAAAAAAAAAAAAAAAAAAAAGGUUAGAAUUGAUUAAGAUUCUCUUAGCUUAAACAUCUUAUUAAGAUGCUAAUAAGGGAUUAGGACUCAGAAGAAAUACUAUAGGUGACCAAGGGAGAAGAUGGCCACUUAUGUGACAAUGAAAAGAAUAUAUAUUCUCAGUUUUGAAGCUGGAAGUCUGGUUGUUCUGUUUUUUUCCUCUAAGCCCUAUAUUUGUAUGGAGCUCCAGUCAACUAAUUAGUGAGCUACCUUCUAAGCUUCCCUUUAAUUUGCUGCACUGGAAUUUCUGAGGGUUGACCUACAACUUUGCCUUGUUAGUGUGAGACUAUGUUAAAUUUCUGUGCAGGAGUUUAUGCAAAAUCAGGUAAGGCUGUUUUUUAAAUGGAAAGUUAGUGUUAAUGAGAAUUCUUAGAUCUGGGGUAUAACAUAAGUAUUAUUAACAGAAAAGUUGAUAACAAACUCAUAGCACUAUUAGCUCGUGCACCAAAUAAGGUUCCGAAACAAGAGACUGGUCAACUUUAACAUAACAUCUCAAACUUUCUUUUUUCCUUUGGGUUUCUCUGUGUAGCCCUGGCUGUACUGGAACUCACUCUGCAGACCAGGCUGUCCUCGAACUCAGAAAUCCGCCUGCCUUUGCCUCCCAAGUGCUGGGAUCAAAGGUGUGUGCCACCACUGCUGGGCAUUUCUCUAAAACUCUUAAAAGUCUUUUGCAAAGCUGGUCAAACAACAUGGCUGGCCGCAAUGGACAGAGAAAUCUAAGCCCAGGGCAUAACUAAGAAGGUCAUACUAGAAAGUUAUAAAUACACUUAGCUGGGAAAUAAGCUCUCCAGAUGUUUCAAUAGCAAAUAUGGAACCCAUGAGAUAUUAGAGGAAUAAGUACUUUCAGAAGAUUUUAUUUUUAAUGUGCAUUGGUGUUUUACCUGCAUGUAUGUCUAUGUGAGGGAGCCAGAUACCUUGGAACUGGAGUUAUAGACACGUGUGAGCUGGGAUUCUGGGAAUGAACCUGGUUCUCAGAAAGAGCAGUCAGUGGUAUUUACCACUGAGCCAUCUCUCCAGCCCAGAAUAAAUAUUUUCAAUGUAUUAAAGAAUAUUAAAAAAGACUAAAGAAAGCUAUCCAGUUGUUUAAAAAUACAGUAUUGACUGUUGUCUUAAUAGAAUUCAGACACUGUACUAUAUAACAGAAUAAAAUAUGUAAAAGAAAUGUGUGAUAAAAUAUAAGUUGGAGAUAACAAAGUUGCUACCUGUAUAAUUCAGAACUCUAAAACUUCAUACAGUAUGUUCAUGGUCUUGGCAGGUCAACCCAGGAAAGAAUGGCUAGACCGUAUUCAGUGAAGUCUAUCACUUGAUAAGCUUGUUUACUCACAUCUGAUAACGGAGUCUGCCUAGAUUUUCUCACACUGGAGUCUCUGGGUUUCUUCACAAACUGAUUCUAGGAGUGAACUUUUCAAGAGAUACAAUACAAUGGAGUGAGAGCAAGGUGGCAAAGGUGCUUUGACCCAACCAUGGAAGUCUUAAAUAGGGCCCAGGAGUGGCAAUUUUCUAUAUAAGUAUUUGGAUUAGAAAAUAUUGCUGUUUGGGGAAUAUGUAAUUUGCCCAAGGUAAUGAUUAAGAUUAGUUUUAUUUUGUGUGAACAUGCAGAAUUUAAUAAAGUAAAAACACUAGUUAAGAGAAAACAAUGCAUAUAAUUUAAAAAAAAUGGAAACCAUAAUGUAUUUUAAUUAAAAAUUUAACAUAAAACUAAGUAAACAUAUUUUGGGAGAAAUGAAAAUGCCCAUAUAAAACACAACUAUAGAAAGGAAGGUGAGAACAGUGUAGAAACUGGGAGAGAUACGCCCCAGAUGGCAGAGAAAAGCUAGAGCCUGCCAAACCAUUAUAGAUGCUAGAAGAACAACUGUCUGGGGAAGAUUAUACCAACACCUCCUGACCACCAAAUCCAAACAAGUGUGGUAUACACUAGGGAAACGUCUAAAAUUAGAAUAUGUAAAGAUUCAAAGUUAAAUGGACUGAAAAAUUAUUCCUUGAGAGUACCAACCAAAAAGAAACCUGAGAUUGCUAAAGAGAAGACUUAAAGGCACAAAGAGACAAUUUCACAUUGAUAAAACACAAUUCAACCGGAAAAUAUAACAAGCUAGAUUUACAGUCCUAGUCACUGUUAAAUUGCUCUGAAGACACACCAUGACCAUGCCAACUUUUAUCAAAGAAAGUGUUUAAUUAGGGGUUAUAGUUUCACUUUAGUGAAUUAUCAUCAUCAUGAUGGGGAAUAUGGGGGCAGGCAUGGCACUGUAGUAGAGUUGAGAGCUACAUGUUGACCUGAAGGCACACACACAUGUGAGUGCCCAAGCACACACAUACACACAAAACACCUGGCCAAAGCCCAUCCCCAGUAACACACUUCCUCCAACAAGGCCACACGCCCCAAUCCUUCUAAUCCUUCUGAAUAGUAUGCAUUCUGGUAAGUAUUCAAAAACAUGAGCCUAGGGGGACAUACUUAAACAAGUGUACUUACUAAUUUUGCUUCAGGAUAUAUAAAACAGAAAUACACUCUGGGAGAAAAACAGCAAGUAUAAUAUAAUAGGUGACUUUCCAUAUAAAUCUUAUAAUAAUUCACAUUAUAGCUUAUUAAAACAUAAGGAUAUAGAAAAUUUAAUAUUAAAGAUUUGAUGCCAUUGACAGGUGCUCGCUCCAUUACUACAUUCCAAUGAUCCUGGCUCAUUAGGACUGUUUUUAAGCAUGAGUUUUUAAAUCAUCAGUAUUUUCGAAACAUGUGUUUUUUUUUAAUAAUCUUUUUAUUUUGAGUUUUAGUUUAGCUGGGUAUUGGUUAAGGAAAAAACCUAAUUUUCAGGGUCAAUCAAGAAGUGGGGACUCUGGUAUCUUCAAACCACUUUUGGAACUUCGAAGGGAUGAACUUUAAGGAUAAGGGUAGACAAGAACUAAGAACAAACAGUAUGACGUUCUACCUUGAACUCCAUUAGAAGGAUCAGGAAAUUGGAGGGCCUGAAUGAAAUUCCAGCAAAGUGAUUUUAAGUCACUAGGACCUAGGUUUUGGCAGAAACAAAAGAUGUGUAUGUGUGUGUAGGAAGGGGGGGCGAGGGGGAGGCAGGCAGAAGUCUUGAAAAAUAAAAGUAUUAUCCCGCUAUCAAGUAAUUUCUGUACAUUUUCAAGUAAAUUUUGGCAAGUAAUUAAAAGGAAACUGGAUACAGAGAAAGAACAGAAGAAACGAAAGCUGACAGACUCAGAGGAAGGCUUUUGGUUCAUCAGAUCACGCUCACUCUUUGGGCUGGAGAGAUGGUUCAGUGGUCAACAGUACUUGCAGUUCUUGUGGAGGAGAGGGUCUCAUUCACAGCACCCAUCUUGGGUAACUCACCAGUGCCUCUAACUCCGUAUCUAGGGGAUCCGAUGCCCUCCACUGGCCUCUGCAUACACACAGUGCACAUAAACACAGGCACACUGCAUGGACACACAAACCACACAAAUGAGAUUAAAAAAAAAUUUUUAAUUUGACUGCCAGAGUGAUCAAUUUCCAAGUUUAUAGAGAACUCUGAGAACAGAAAAUAGAGGGUUAAGAAUAAUCAUGACAUUUUAACAGAAAAAAUUGAUUAAGUUUGAAAAAUGAAUUUUGCCAAUCAUUAAAAAUAUCAGCUUCAGUGAUGUGACAGUAUGUUGUCAUUAAGACAGAAAGGGAAAGAAACAAAUGGUUCAGAAAGAUCCAUACACAUUUUUUAAUGCUACCUUGGCAGUACUAGAAAAAAAAUACUAAUAGUAUUAGCUGUCACAUCUGGAAUGAACUCCUUACGAAUUAUGACUUAAGUCUGAAAGGCAAAACUAAUGUGCUUAGAAGACAAAAGAGAAGAUUCCCCAGGCUGGGAAUGAGGUUUUUAUUAUGAAACAAAAGACUGGUCCUGCUAAGUAUCUAACCUUUAGCUUCUGAACAGAAGAUAUUUACAACUAUACAGACAACAAAGAACAUGAUAUAUAAAGAUCUCCCAUGUAUCAAAUGCACUGCCAAAACAAAACAUAGAUGUGCCACAUAUAUGACAAGAUACUUUCCAAAAAGGAAGGUUGAAAUGGCCAAUAAAUUUGUGAAAAGGUGCCCCACACCCUGUAAUAAGAGAUAUGAGGAAACAGUCAAUGAAAUACAAUUGCAUGUCUACCACACUAUCAAAAUGUAAAAGCAAAAACCAUACAAACUGAUCACAAUGUGGAGAAAUGAACAUAUCUAAUGCUUAGCAUAGGGUGAUGGUGGCGUGGUAAGCGUUGGGAAGAGGAAAGCAAAGUAGGGAAGGGGAAAUGAUGUAGUUAUACUUUCAUUUCAAAAAAGAGUAUCUAUAAACAUGCAAUUUUUAUCCUUGACAUAUUAGUUGCAACUCAAGAGAAAUGUGUGUAUAAAACACAUUUAUUAUAGAACUGUAAUUAUCUGAAACUAAAUACAUCUCAUUAUUCACAGUCAAUACAACAGUCAAUAAACUGGUACAUUAAUACAACAGUAAUUACAGCAAUGGUAAAUAAAGUAUGGCUACAACAAACAUGGAUGAAUUAUGAUGAAUGACAGACACAAAACAAUGCAGGACGAUUCUUUACAUACAGUUCAGAAGCCGCAGAACUAAACUGUUCUGUUUAGAUUCACAUACAUAGCAGAGGUAACUUCAGAAAAACGAGGCAACUGCAACCAUU